rnacentral:lncRNA from 1 species
UAUUAGGGGUGUCGUCUGCCUGAGUGGAUCCACGGAGCACGGCUAUCUCCUGCUUGAGCUCUGCGAUCUCCUGAUAUAGACAAUCGACUUCAGGAGCAUGGGUGAGAUCAGACACUCCUAUCUGUAAAGUUAGGUCCGCCACUUCCUGUCUAAGCUCUGCAAUCUCUCUACGGCACUCAACAAUCUGGGUGCAUAUGUCGG